GAUCUGGGAGCACAAAGCAGGCGGUCUUAAGAGCAAUUGCUCAGGAGCUAUGUUUCACCAAAUACCGAAUCCAAACAUAGCACAUAGGCAUAUUAUAAAACGUGAGCCCUUCAGGAAUCGUAUGAUUGGAGUGCAGUAAUGGGUCACUUGAAAGGGGCCGAGAGUGCCUCCCGCGUAAUAAUUGGAACCCAUACUCUUAAUUAUUUAUUUAAACUGGCUAAUUUUAUCAUCCAUUUGUGUAGAUUAUUGAUGAAGCUGAGUUCUUUUUAUUUGGAAUUGAUGACCUUACCCAAAUGACAUUUGGGUAUAGUAGAGAUGAUGUUGGAAAAUUUCUUUCCAUUUACCUAUCAAGCGGCAUUCUGCAGAGUGAUCCAUUCGAAGUUAGUUGUGUAACGUUUAUUUGCUCAUUGAGGACAUGUGAAAGAUGGUUCUUGAAAUUUUUUAACUGUUUGACAAUAAUAUUAAAUGUUCAACUAUUAAA